rnacentral:lncRNA from 1 species
UAUUAUAUUAUAUAUUUUUUGCUUUCUUAUAACUUUGGAGGAAAGUCAAAUCUUGGUAUUAUUAAAAUUGUUUUAAAAAGGAGUAAAUUUUCCAGUUGAUAAAUGAAAAUCAAUGGUCUAGCUUUAAAAUAAUGAGUUUUUCUUUAAUUACUGUGGAAUAACGUGCCAGCUAUCAUCAACACAAUGAUUUUGUACAUAGGGUAGGGAAGCAGUGAUGCUCUCAAUGGGAAGAUGUGCAACACAAAUUAAGGGGAACUCCAUGUAUUUUACCUGCUUCAGCAAUGGAACUGCAACUUGGGGCUUUGUGAAUAAAGUGUAGCUGCCUUGUAUAGUCGUUUGAAAGAGAAUAUGUGAUCUGUGAGAGAAUUAUAGUUGUUUUAGAAGAAAAAUCUGCAAAAGAUCUUUCCAAAGACAAUGUGCCACAGAUCUUUUGUUCUCUGUAAUAAGGAUUAAUUGCCGUUUAAACAAAAAUGUAAUUGUUCAUCUUUAAAUUCUUUCCUUUUCAUAAGAGGAUCAAGCUGUAAAAAAACAAAAUAAUUAAUAAAAAUGUCGAGAAAUCAAAAAA